AUACUUACUUGAACGGGGUCAAUGAAUCAAUAAGGCCCAUGGCCUAGGCUGAUGACCUCCAUUGCACUAUGGGAGAGGUGCCCGCCUAAGAUCGAUCAAAGUGGUCGAGCCUACAUCAUAAUUUGUGAUAGCGGGGGCCUGCGUUCCCGUGGCCCCUAC
rfam:Nicotiana sylvestris Nsyl_contig49443, whole genome shotgun sequence.